rnacentral:rRNA from 1 species
AAACGUAGGAGGCGAGCGUUAUCCGGAUUUACUGGGCGUAAAGCGCGUGCAGGCGGUUGCGCAAGUUGGGCGUGAAAUCUCCCGGCUCAACUGGGAGGGGUCGUUCAAAACUGCGUAGCUUGAGGGCAGGAGAGGGAAGCGGAAUUCCCGGUGUAGCGGUAAUAUGCGCAGAUAUCGGGAGGAACACCAGUGGCGAAGGCGGCUUCCUGGCCUGUGCCUGACGCUGAGACGCGAAAGCCAGGGGAGCGAACGGGAUUAGAUACCCCGGUAGUCCUGGCUGUAAACGAUGGAUACUAGGUGUGGGCGGUAUUGACCCCGCCCGUGCCGAAGCUAACGCGUUAAGUAUCCCGCCUGGGGAGUACGACCGCAAGGUUAAA